rnacentral:rRNA from 1 species
UUGUAGGGAACAACAAAAUUGCUGCAGUUAAAAAGCUCGUAGUCGGAUGUUUCGAGUGUUGUGUGAUUUGCAUGAUGUGCCGGAAGGCGCGUUGUUUUGGCAAGUGACCCACUCGAUUGUUGAGGUGGACUCUCGUGUCAGUUAAUUCUGUCUUGCGGGAUGUUUAGAAGCCUCUCUUGCACUGUGAAUAAAACGAAGCGCUCCAAGCAGUUUGGAAAGACUGAACGAUAAAGCAUGGGAUGCUGUCAGAAGAUCUUGGGAUGACGAGUUGUCGGUGAAUUGUGAUCCUAGAUAAUGAUUACAGGAGCAGUUGGGGCGAUUGGUAUUGCAGGGGUACCGGUGAAAUGGAGAUCCUUGCAAGACUGACGAAAGCGAAAGCAUUUCGCAAGGAUGUUUUCAAUGA